GGAAUCCACGACACAACCUGUCUUUGAACUUGAAGGACACAGAACCAUAGAGCCAUUCGGAGCCAUUGCAACCUCACGAUGUCACCACACCUGAGGAUCCGGAGACCAAGGAGGCUCAGGCAGACUGCGUGUUUGUUCUGUGGAACAAGAGUUCUUUGUUUGAAGAAAAGCAAAUAAACCGGGUCCAGAGUAGCUGGAACAGGGAUGACGUCGUCUGGAAAAUGUGAGCGGAGACCAUCCCCCGGAAUGAAGAGCUGCCAGGUUCCCGGUCCCAUUUGGGGAGUCGUGAAGAGGACAAUUCAGAUAGUGUCCAGAAGCUCUGGAAACUGGGGACGAAAAUUCACGUACCUCCAGGGCCAGG